AAUAGAAUGGCUGAAUAAGGCAUUAAACUGUAAAUUUAAUGAUAGUUAUAAAAUAACUUUUUAUUA
rnacentral:tRNA from 1 species